UGCCUCCAGCUGCCCCAGCCCCACCCCCGUGGGUACUUGCUAGGACCUGGGGCUCCUUGUUCCCUAUGACCUCCUCGCUCCCCACUGCUCCAUGCUUAGCCCUGUCCACACAUCAGAAAGCAGACAGAGUGGUUUGAAGAGCGCCUCACUUCCCAUCCCUGAGCUGGGGGCAGAAUGCCAGCCCCUCCCGGUCCAGUCACAUACUCAGCGCCCCCAACAGGCUGGAGAGGACCCCUUCCUCACAGCCCUUGCUGGUGCCUGCCCUGUCCUGGGGAGCAACUGGCCAGGGCCUGACCCCAGCUGGACCUUGCAUGGCCCUGAGUCAGCAGCACGGUUUCCAGAGCAGCUGCCCUGGGGGUGUGGCAGUGACUGGGACAGUGGGAGGGAGAGAGGGCCCCUCACCAUCACACUGACCCCUGUCUGGGGGACACCCCCAGACUCCCCUCAGCACCCACUGUGUGCCAGGCUGGGUGGGGGCAUGGCAGGGGAGAGGGGCUCACAGCACCACUGCUGCCACCUGUGGGCAGAGGCCAUGGGCCUCCUUCCUGCCAGCGUGAGUCACAGGAGCCUUUGCCCUGGCAGCGUGUGGAGCCCAGGCCCCAGUGCCCCUCCUCCAGCAGCUGGCAUCGCCUCUGCACAGAGCUGGCGGGACCCCGGGGCAGGUGGAGUCUGCAUCAGAGUUGGGGCCAUCGCUGGGCCAUCACAGCCAACUUCCCCCGAAGAGGCACAUCUGAGCUGGAGUGGGAAGCAGAGUGGGGAGAGGAAGAUGUUCCAGGUCUUGGCACAACCUGGGCAAAGGUGCAGAGGGCUGGCCACAUCUCCUCCUGGCUCAUCCCAGUGAAAUCCCCAGAUCCUUGCCAAGUGAUCGCUCACUUCCUGUUUGAACGUGGUAGUCACAGCUGAGCCCCAGAUCAGCAGCCGGCGGUCACUGGGAACUUGCUGGGAACGCAGAUUCCUGGGCUGCCCCAGCCCAUCUAGGACUCCAGCUAAACCUAAGACGAGAGACAAUUCAUGCUGUCCCCACAUGGCACCGCAGAAGCACGGAGCCCCAGAUGCCUCCACUCCUGGGUGCUUAGCAUCCCCCCAUCAGAGCUUAUGUAUCCUGGGCCCCCUUCCCCAGAAGCCAAGUCAAAACGCAAACCACUGGGCCAGGCUGCUGGUGUGUGCUGGAGGCAGAAGCUCCGCCCUGUGCCCCCGCCAACCCAGGCACUCAUAGCGCCGAGAGCCAGGAACCUCAGCGCCAGCAAUGCCACGGGAGCCUGGUGUCUUCCACCGGGCCUCGCAGCUCCCUCGCCCACCUGUGCACCUGGCAUGCAAGACAAACACUCUCCUGGGCAAACGUGCCUCCCCCCAUUCCACGGGUUCUCCUGCCACCCAGGGUGAUGUGCUGGGCUAUGUGGCCUCCGACGACACGGCGCCUUCCCCAGCCCGCUUCUCAAAUGAGAACAAUAAUGAUCCCUCUACCUCGGCAGGCGGCGGUUGAGUUUCUGCUCAGACCACUGGUAAGGACUCCAGCGAGGCCAGUGGGCAGCGAGGCGCCCGGGGAAGCACUGGGAACCCCGCCUGGGGUUACAGUGGGGACUCAGGAGAUGCUCCUCCUGGAGACACACCAUCCUCCCGUUUGGCCUCUCUGACCCGCUCCGACAGCCCUGCCCAGGGCCAGGUCUGUCACCUCUCCUGCUGGCCAGAGACGGGGCCCUCAUCACAGCAAUCCGCGUCUCCUCAGGCCCCUCCAGCGCAAGCCCAGAUUGCAAAUGAGGCUUUCAAGCCGUCGAGACCACCGCUCCCAGCGCCAGCCGCUCUGCACACCUGACGCCCCGCCCCGCCCCGCCCACCAGGCCCCGCCCCGUCAGGCCCCCUCUCCCGCGAGACCCCGCCCAUCAGGGUCUCCCAGGCUCUAGUGGCUCCCGGCACGUGGCCGCCCUGCCCACAGACUUGGGCGGGAGCCAAAACAACUCAGGGAAAGAGGCCUGUUUUUUAAAAUUUGUUUAUUUUAAAACAUGAAACCCAAGCUGA